rnacentral:rRNA from 1 species
UACGGAGGAUGCGAGCGUUAUCCGGAUUUAUUGGGUUUAAAGGGUGCGUAGGCGGAACAUUAAGUCAGCGGUAAAAUCGAGGGGCUCAACCCCGUCGUGCCGUUGAAACUGACACCCUUGAGUGAGUGAGAAGUAAGCGGAAUGCGUGGUGUAGCGGUGAAAUGCAUAGAUAUCACGCAGAACGCCGAUUGCGAAGGCAGCAUACCGGCGCCCAACUGACGCUGAGGCACGAAAGCGUGGGUAUCGAACAGG